rnacentral:rRNA from 1 species
GCCAGGCCCUACGGGGCGCAGCAGGCGCGAAACCUCCGCAAUGCACGCAAGUGCGACGGGGGAACCCCAAGUGCCACUCUUAACGGGGUGGCUUUUCAGAAGUGUAAAAAGCUUCUGGAAUAAGGGCUGGGCAAGACCGGUGCCAGCCGCCGCGGUAACACCGGCAGCUUAAGUGGUAGCCGCUUUUAUUGGGCCUAAAGCGUCCGUAGCCGGUCUGAUAAGUCUCUGGUGAAAUCCCGCAGCUUAACUGUGGGAAUUGCUGGAGAUACUAUCAUGACUCGAGGUCGGGAGAGGCUGGAGGUACUCCCAGGGUAGGGGUGAAAUCCUGUAAUCCUGGGAGGACCACCUGUGGCGAAGGCGUCCAGCUGGAACGAACCUGACGGUGAGGGACGAAAGCCAGGGGCGCGAACCGGAUUAGAUACCCGGGUAGUCCUGGCCGUAAACGAUGUGGACUUGGUGUUGGGAUGGCUUCGAGCUGCCCCAGUGCCGAAGGGAAGCUGUUAAGUCCACCGCCUGGGAAGUACGGCCGCAAGGCUGAAACUUAAAGGAAUUGGCGGGGGAGCAUCACAACGCGUGGAGCCUGCGGUUUAAUUGGAUUCAACGCCGGG